rnacentral:lncRNA from 1 species
UUUUUCAUACAUUUAAAUUAUAUUAUAUAGGAUGAUUUUAUGUAUGCAAAGAUUACUAUGAUAUAUUCUAGCUAGACACACGUAAUUAGCGUGGUUAUUUUCAGAGUUGUUCUAUCAGGUUAAGUCUUGUAAUUGUAUUGCAAUUACCAAAACCCACACUUUGCAUUUGAGGAAAGAAUCAUAAAGAUAAAAAAAAAUCAAAAAUCAAAAGAUCUUUCCUAAAAGAUGAAAAAAAAAAAAAUGAAAUCGUUUUCCCAUUCACCCACCAACCCAAGCUCUAAUUGUGGUGGGGUUUUGUGAGAAUAUAUGACAAGUUGUAAACAGCUAUUAGAUGCAAUUAUGUGGCUAUGGAAAAAUUUGGGAUGCAAAGCUGGAGGACAUUUUAUUCAUUUUCAUUUUCUCUCCCUUUUUUAAAUCAUUUU